GGCGCCGCCUCAAAAACCCUGAUCGCCAACGCAAUGGUCCGCGCAUACACCCAGGAGCAUGUCUACCACCACCCGUGGGAUCGCGUCACCGCUGCCUCUUGGCGCAAGUUCACCGAUCCCGGCACCCCUGCCGUUCUCUCCCAUGUCGUUGACGUCCACACCCUCUCCCGCCGCCUGGACCCCACCGCCGGCAAACUCCACACCACCCGCUCCGUCACCGUCCGCUCCCCA
rnacentral:misc_RNA from 1 species